rnacentral:rRNA from 1 species
UGGGGAAUUUUGGACAAUGGGCGCAAGCCUGAUCCAGCCAUGCCGCGUGCGGGAAGAAGGCCUUCGGGUUGUAAACCGCUUUUGUCAGGGAAGAAAUCUUCUGAGUUAAUACCUCGGGAGGAUGACGGUACCUGAAGAAUAAGCACCGGCUAACUACGUGCCAGCAGCCGCGGUAAUACGUAGGGUGCAAGCGUUAAUCGGAAUUACUGGGCGUAAAGCGUGCGCAGGCGGUUUUGUAAGACAGAGGUGAAAUCCCCGGGCUCAACCUGGGAACUGCCUUUGUGACUGCAAGGCUUGAGUGCGGCAGAGGGGGAUGGAAUUCCGCGUGUAGCAGUGAAAUGCGUAGAUAUGCGGAGGAACACCGAUGGCGAAGGCAAUCCCCUGGGCCUGCACUGACGCUCAUGCACGAAAGCGUGGGGAGCAAACAGGAUUAGAUACCCUGGUAGUCACGCCCUAAACGAUGUCAACUGGUUGUUGGGAAGGUUCCUUCUCAGUAACGUAGCUAACGCGUGAAGUUGACCGCCUGGGGAGUACGGCCGCAAGGUUGAAAC